UACGUAGGGGGCAAGCGUUGUCCGGAAUUAUUGGGCGUAAAGAGCGUGUAGGCGGCCAGGUAGGUCUGCUGUGAAAACUCGAGGCUCAACCUCGAGACGUCGGCGGAAACCAUCUGGCUAGAGUCCGGAAGAGGAGAGUGGAAUUCCUGGUGUAGCGGUGAAAUGCGCAGAUAUCAGGAAGAACACCCGUGGCGAAGGCGGGCACCUGGGCUAACACUGACGCUGAUGCGCGAAAGCUAGGGGAGCAAACAGG
rnacentral:rRNA from 1 species